rnacentral:lncRNA from 10 species
AAAAAUAUCUCCUCCACUGACAUACCACAUGGGUUGAUAUUCCUGCUGUCAGAGGCACACCUUGAAAUUAAGGUGUCUUCCUACAAAAAGUCUUGUUGUUAAGUUCAGACACUGUCUGAGAUGAGGUAUUUAUAAUUCCUGCCCCAAAUUUGGCUAUAAGCUUCAAGAAUACUGGGACCUGGCUUGUUUACUGAAGCAUCUCUAGAGCCACAACAAUGGGUGAAACACCAUGGACAGUUAGCAAAUAUUUGCUAAGCAAAUGAAAGACUACACGACAAGGUAAUGUUUGACAAAUGCAAUAAAAAAUAAAUAAAUAAAGGAUGAAAUUCUAUUAGGGUGUAGAGCAGGAUGGAAGAGGAUUCAUUGAAAAGGUCAAGGAUGCUUGCAUGGGAGGCAGAGUGUUUGACCCAGAUGGGAUUUGUUCCAG